UACAGAGGUCUCAAGCGUUGUUCGGAUUCAUUGGGCGUAAAGGGUGCGUAGGCGGCGCCGUAAGUCAGGUGUGAAAUUUCGGAGCUUAACUCCGAAACUGCAUUUGAUACUGCGGUGCUUGAGGACUGGAGAGGAGACUGGAAUUUACGGUGUAGCAGUGAAAUGCGUAGAGAUCGGAAGGAAGACCAGUGGCGAAGGCGGGUCUCUGGACAGUUCCUGACGCUGAGGCGCGAAGGCCAGGGGAGCAAACGGG
rnacentral:rRNA from 1 species